CCUACGGGUGGCAGCAGUGGGGAAUAUUGGGCAAUGGGCGCAAGCCUGACCCAGCAACGCCGCGUGAAGGAAGACGGCUUUCGGGUUGUAAACUUCUUUUCUCAGGGACGAAGCAAGUGACGGUACCUGAGGAAUAAGCCACGGCUAACUACGUGCCAGCAGCCGCGGUAAUACGUAGGUGGCAAGCGUUAUCCGGAUUUACGGGGUGUAAAGGGCGUGUAGGCGGGAAAGCAAGUCAGAUGUGAAAACCAUGGGCUCAACCUGUGGCCUGCAUUUGAAACUGUUUUUCUUGAGUACUGGGGAGGCAGACGGAAUGCCUGGUGUAGCGGUGAAAUGCGUAGAUAUGAGGAGGAACACCAGUGGCGAAGGCGGUCUGCUGGACAGCAACUGACGCUGAGGCGCGAAAGCGUGGGGAGCAAACAGGAUUAGAUACCCGAGUAGUC
rnacentral:rRNA from 1 species